rnacentral:lncRNA from 1 species
AACCACGUUGUGGCUCACCUAAGCGGUGAUUUCGCCUUUGUGGUCUUCGAUAAAUCAACCUCCACUCUGUUUGUAGCUUCUGUAAGUUAUUUUAACCCCCUCAUAAACCCUUUUUAACUGUGAAGUAGAUUGAAUCUAGCGGUAAAAAACCGGUUUUUGAUUUGCUGCAGGACCAAGUUGGCAAGGUUCCAUUGUAUUGGGGAAUAACAGCUGAUGGGUAUGUGGCAUUUGCUGAUGAUGUUGAGUUGCUAAAAGGUGCUUGUGGCAAGUCUCUUGCGUCUUUCCCUCAAGGUUCGUUGUUCAGUUUGUCUGUUCACUCCUAAAUUCAAGAUUUUUCGGAGCAUUACCUGUUCCAUUGAAGCGAUUUUGAUUUUUGAAUGGUUGUGUAUGCGUGGGUUUCAGGCUGUUAUUACUCAACGGCGUUAGGUGGGCUUAGGAGCUUCGAGAACCCUAAGAACAAGAUCACUGCAGUUCCUGCUAAUGAGGAAGAAAUUUGGGGAGCCACCUUUAAGGUAAUUGAUUCUCCAAAAACAAAUCAUAUUAAGUAUAUUCUGUUCAGCAACUUACAACACAAACUUUGGUGGUGGGAACAGGUGGAAGGAGCAACAGUUCUUGCAGAUUGAGGAUUAAA